rnacentral:piRNA from 1 species
UACAGAGUGACUACUUGGGUUGUCUCUG